ACUCGAGUGGCGAACGGGUGAGUAACACGUGGGUGAUCUGCCCUGCACUUUGGGAUAAGCCUGGGAAACUGGGUCUAAUACCGAAUAGGACCACGCGCUUCAUGGUGUGUGGUGGAAAGCUUUUGCGGUGUGGGAUGGGCCCGCGGCCUAUCAGCUUGUUGGUGGGGUAAUGGCCUACCAAGGCGACGACGGGUAGCCGGCCUGAGAGGGUGACCGGCCACACUGGGACUGAGAUACGGCCCAGACUCCUACGGGAGGCAGCAGUGGGGAAUAUUGCACAAUGGGCGCAAGCCUGAUGCAGCGACGCCGCGUGAGGGAUGACGGCCUUCGGGUUGUAAACCUCUUUCAAUAGGGACGAAGCGCAAGUGACGGUACCUAUAGAAGAAGCACCGGCCAACUACGUGCCAGCAGCCGCGGUAAUACGUAGGGUGCGAGCGUUGUCCGGAAUUACUG
rnacentral:rRNA from 2 species